CGAAGGGUGCAAGCGUUACUCGGAAUUACUGGGCGUAAAGCGUGCGUAGGUGGUUCGUUAAGUCUGUCGUGAAAGCCCCGGGCUCAACCUGGGAAUGGCGAUGGAUACUGGCGGGCUAGAGUGCGGUAGAGGAGAGUGGAAUUCCCGGUGUAGCAGUGAAAUGCGUAGAGAUCGGGAGGAACAUCAGUUGCGAAGGCGGCUCUCUGGACCAGCACUGACACUGAGGCACGAAAGCGUGGGAGCAAACAGGAUUAGAUACCCUGGUAGUCCACGCCCUAAACGAUGCGAACUGGACGUUGGGAGCAACUAGGCUCUCAGUGUCGAAGCUAACGCGUUAAGUUCGCCGCCUGGGGAGUACGGUCGCAAGACUG
rnacentral:rRNA from 1 species